rnacentral:tRNA from 1 species
GCCUGGCUGGCUCAGUCGGUUGGGCGUCCGACUUCAGCUCAGGUCACAAUCUCGUGGUCCGUGAGUUCGAGCCCCGCGUCAGGCC